rnacentral:rRNA from 1 species
UACGAAGGUCCCAAGCGUUAUCCGGAUUUAUUGGGUUUAAAGGGUGCGUAGGCGGGUUAUUAAGUCAGUGGUGAAAGCCUUCAGCUUAACUGAAGAAUUGCCAUUGAUACUGAUGAUCUUGAGUAUGAUUGAGGUGGGCGGAAUGUGUCAUGUAGCGGUGAAAUGCUUAGAUAUGACACAGAACACCGAUUGCGAAGGCAGCUCACUAAGUCAUAACUGACGCUGAUGCACGAAAGCGUGGGGGAGCAAACAGG